CAUCUGAUGGGGGGACUGAAGACACGUCUCAGCCAUCUGAUGGGGGGGCUGAAGACACGUCUCAGCCAUCUGAUGGGGGGGCUGAAGAGGUGUCUCAGCCAUCUGAUGGGGGGGCUGAAGAGGUGUCUCAGCCAUCUGAUGGGGGGACUGAAGAGGUGUCUCAGCCAUCUGAUGGGGGGGCUGAAGAGGGUUCUCAGCCAUCUGAUGGGGGGACUGAAGAGGUGUCUCAGCCAUCUGAUGGGGGGACUGAAGAACCUUCCAUGCCCCCAUACCACCUGUGGUUGAACGUGACCGGGCCCCCACCCAGCCUGGAAUCCAUGACCACCCCUCCCCCAUUGGAAUCCAUCGAGUUCAGGACAGGUACCCCCAGCCCAGACCUGCAGCUCGGCCCUGGGGGCUCCCCCACCACCCGCAGCAGCAGCAGCAGCAGCAGCAGCAGCAGCAGCAGCAUCACCAUCAGGGGUGGAGCCCCAGAGGGAGCCGCCCGUGAAAGCCGCCUCCGAGCUGGGCAGCCUGAGGGUGCCACCCCAGCCCCUCCCUCUGCCAACAGGCAGGGCCGGCCCGGGCUGGCUAGAAGGGCCUUCCGAGCCUUCUUAAGAUUCACAUGCUGUCCGUUACCCAAAAUCAAGAUUCGUUUUAAAAAGAAGAAAGUCCAUCCACAAUAGUUUUUAAAAUGGUGGAUCAAGGCAAGGGCCACAGUCAACUCGAAGGUGCGGAGCUCCAGGCAGGCCGGGCGCGUGGUGCUGGAGACGACCCAGAGGUCGGGAGCGGUGCCAGACACACCCGCUGCGUGUGCAGCAGCACCGUGGUCUUCGGAAGCAACUUGCCCAAAAUGCCUGCUGAGCUGGGAAGACUGCGUGGCGCCCCCUGGAGGUCAAGAGGAGGGGCUGCCCUCGCUGUGGGUCAACCCCCCAGCCCCCACCUGACUGAAGCCUCAGAGACUGGACUUUUUCCUGGUCCCUUUCCUCCCCUGCUCCUUGGCUCCCAUGUUGUGGGGCUUCCUAUUAAAGCAUUUGCUUCUCCUCCCCCCCCCCUCAAAAAAAAAUAAAAAAUCAUUGCUUAA